UCUCUAUGCGGUGUCAGCAGCCGCGGUAAUACGUAGGGUGCGAGCGUUAAUCGGAAUUACUGGGCGUAAAGCGUGCGCAGGCGGUUAUGUAAGACAGAUGUGAAAUCCCCGGGCUCAACCUGGGAACUGCAUUUGUGACUGCAUGGCUAGAGUACGGUAGAGGGGGAUGGAAUUCCGCGUGUAGCAGUGAAAUGCGUAGAUAUGCGGAGGAACACCGAUGGCGAAGGCAAUCCCCUGGACCUGUACUGACGCUCGAUGCACGAAAGCGUGGGGAGCAAACAGGAUUAGAUACCCUGGUAGUCCACGCCCUAAACGAUGUCAACUGGUGUUGGGAAUUAGUUUCUCAGUAACGAAGCUAACGCGUGAAGUUNACCGCCUGGGGAGUACGGCCGCAAGGUUGAAACUCAAAUGAAUUGGCGGG
rnacentral:rRNA from 1 species